AUGGUGUCCGGCUACCGGCAGAGGGAAGCCGUGGGUGCGUGUACAGAGAGCCUCGGGUCGGAGAGCGGCGACGUCGGCGGGGAUAUCGAGCAGCUCCCGGCCGUCGUCGGCGCCGGAGCAAACGAGGACGGGCACGGCGCGGGAAUGGUGGAGCAUCAGGAUUUGGCGGCGAAGAGGCGGCGAGGCGACAGGCUUCUCCCUCCGGUGAUGCCGAGGCCGGCCGAGGCGUUCAUGCGCGCGGAGCGGCGUGGCGGGCGGCUCAUCCUCACCCAGGUGGUGCGGCCGGUCGAGCGGCCGCGGGAGGUGUUCUGUGCGUCCCGCGCCGACGGGCGCCUGCGCCUGCGCUUCGCUGAAGAAGACCGCUUGUACGGCGAGGAGCGCCAAGCGCCCGAAUCAGCCGAGACGGAGAGCGGGGCCCUGGUCGGUGGCUGCGGCAACGGCGUGGGGUUGCGCCAGGCGGCCACCGGCACCGGGAGGCGCGUCGAGAUCGGCGCCGUGAUGGGGAUAUGA
rnacentral:rRNA from 1 species